rnacentral:rRNA from 1 species
AUGUAUGCUGACGACGUUGCAAUCUUCCUCAACCCCACCCAGCAAGAGGUGCUCACCCUUAGAUCGAUACUUCGUGCCUUCGGAGAUGCCACGGGAUUAAGAAUCAAUUUCAGCAAAAGCACAGUCCUAGCCAUCAAUGGCGCGAGCUUCUCAAUUGAUGACAUGGCUGGGUCGCUGUGGGCGCCGCAUGGAACCUUCCCUUUCAAAUUCCUCGGCCUCCCUCUAUCUCUUCGCAAACUGCGCAAGAUUGAUUUUCAGCCGCUCAUUGACAAGCUAGUGGCGAGGCUAGCGGGCUGGAAAUUCAUGCUGCUUGCGGCUGCAGGGCGUCUGGUACUGCUCAACUCCGUGCUCUCGGCUUUCACGGUCUAUUGGAUGUCCCUUCACGAGCUGCCCGCGUGGGUACGGCGUCAGAUCGACAAGAUCAGGCGUGCCUGGCUUUGGAAGGGCCAUGAGUUCUGUCAUGGCGGGCAAUGCAAGGUGGCAUGGGGACGCAUUUGCCGACCGCGCGAUCUCGGCGGCCUCGGCAUUCUGGAUCUCCAACGCUUUGGAGUGGCAUUGAGACUGCGAUGGCUGUGGUUGGAGCGCGUGGCUAGGGCAAGGCCAUGGAUCGGACUGCCUAUCCCUUGCUCCACAUCGGAACGACUGCUCUUCGCGGCUGCCACCACCGCGACGGUCCAUGAUGGCAAAACUACCAGCUUUUGGUUCGAUAGCUGGUUGCUUGGGGAGGCCCCAAUCACCAUUGCGCCGGGUAUCUUCAUGCUCUCGCGGCGCAAAACGCGGUCGGUCCAGGACGCUCUACGGGACGGGAGGUGGGUCAAGGAUGUGCAAGGGCGCGUCACUCCUGACCUCCUACUGGAGUGCGUGGCCUUGUGGUCUAGAAUUGCCUCGGCCGGCCCGCUCUCCGACGGGCAUGCCGAGUUCUCCUGGAACCUCACUGAAUCCCGGAAAUUCACUACGGCAUCGGCAUAUCGCCUGCAGUUCCUGGGCUCUACGCGAUCGCCUGCCCUCGAGAUCAUUUGGAAGGCGUGGGCACCUGCCAAAAUCAAGCUUUUCGCAUGGCUUCUGUCCAUCAACAGAUUGCUUACUGCAGAUCGGCUCUUAGCGCGGCAAUGGCCCAAUAACUAUUUUUGCCCGCUAUGUCGCCGUAACCUGGAAACCAACAUACACCUUUUCAAAGAGUGCCCGUGGUCGAGGCAGCUUUGGGCGGCGGCGGCGGUGCGCUUCGCCAUUCCAUCACUGCACCCUGUGAUUUGGCCAGCAGAUGGGGGUUUCCUUGUAGACUGGAUGAUGCUGCUUGGCGAAUCAGCUACGCUUAUCAAGCGGUCGCGCUCGAUCGUGCUCCUUGUCCUCUGGAGCAUUUGGAAGGAACGAAAUGACAGGAUCUUCAAUGACACGGAACAUGGCUCGGAGGAGGUUCUGAAUCGUAUCGGUGAGGAGCUCCGACUGUGGGCUCUGGCUAGGGGUAGUCAUCUGAUGCUGCGAGAGUAG